CCUACGGGGGGCAGCAGUGAGGAAUAUUGGUCAAUGGGCGGGAGCCUGAACCAGCCAAGUCGCGUGAGGGACGACGGUCCUAUGGAUUGUAAACCUCUUUUGUCGGGGAACAAAGGCGCCCACGGGUGGGCGGAUGAGUGUACCCGAAGAAAAAGCAUCGGUUAACUCCGUGCCAGCAGCCGCGGUAAUACGGAGGAUGCGAGCGUUAUCCGGAUUUAUGGGGUUAAAGGGGUGCGUAGGCGGACAGUCACGUCAGCGGUAAAAAUGCGGUGCGCAAAGCCGUACAGCCGUUGAAACUGGCAGUCUGGAGUGGGCGAGAAGUAUGCGGAAUGCGUGGUGUAGCGGUGAAAUGCAUAGAUAUCACGCAGAACUCCGAUUGCGAAGGCAGCAUACCGGCGCCCGACUGACGCUGAGGCACGAAAGCGUGGGUAUCGAACAGGAUUAGAUACCCUGGUAGUC
rnacentral:rRNA from 1 species